GCACAAGCAACAAGUUCCCUCUGCUGCUCAGCAGGAAAAUAUCCAAAUUUUCCUUCUGGAAACUGGUUUAAUAGCGGCCUUAACAACAAAUGGAACGGGGCCACUUAGAAACGCACAUUUCAGAUGUUAGAUUCCCAAGGCUUAGACAAACAAAGAGCCCUUUAUGCCCCACAACAAAGUCAGUUUUAAGAAAGUCCUGCUGGUCGCCAGCCACCCCCAUGCCCCGCAACUUAAAGCUGCUGCACAAUUUGGGAACCCCAAGUAAAAACCACACAAAGACCCCAUCUCCCAGGUACUUCCCGGAGCCAGGCUUGCUCGGGGGCAGGACAGUCUCUUUGCACAACUUUAAGCCACGCAAAUGUGGAGCCGAGCAGCAUUUGCAAGUAGGUAAGAAAAGGAAAUAGUAUAAAAAGCACGAGAAACGUUAUGGUUGGCUUUCACUGGUAUCUUCCUUUUCUCCUUACAGGCUAUGCAUUUGGCCUAUUUUACCCUCCAGUUAGUUGAUAAAAUAAAGGGGAAAUCCCUGCUCGCGGGGCUGAGCAGCCAGAGGUGCGUUUUGGCCGCCACGCGCAGGAUGCAGGAGCAGGAGGCCAGCAUCAGCUGCUCAACUCGGGGCUUGGGAUGCUCCAGCCCACGCAGACACAGCGGUGACAACAGGAGGGACAGCGUGGGCUUUGUGUGACGGGCUCGCAUCACAGGCAAACGCUCACGGAAGGAGCAGGGCCUGGAGGACGGCUUCUGGCGGGGCAGAGGGAGGGCUGCAUCGCCCCGAACUUCGCCUGGGAGAGGUCAGAGGCUCCAGCACCGCCUGUCCCCACCCGGCCAGCAGCCGCAGAUGGUUAAAGAGCCACACGAGAAAGUCAGCUUCUAAGGUCACCCCUUCUACUUUCCCUUCCCCAGCAGGGUCAGAGAACAGAUUCUGCGCUUUAAAAUCUUCACUUAAAAGCCUAGGAAUGACCACAGCGCAACAGGAACGUCCGUUAGAGCCUACAUAAUUACCGAUUUGGGGCCAAUUUUCCUGCCUCUUACGUGCCAUCUGUAUCUAUUGCAAUGUCAGAGGCACGGCUGUGUUGGAAGGCUUCCACGGGUUGCACUUACACAGCUUCGGCCAGAUCACGGCUGCGUGUGGAGGCAGAGCUCAUCUGCUGCUGGCUCCGCAGAUGCUGCCUUGAGCCGACAAGCUGGGUCACGACUCCAGGAGACAGGUUAACUGCACAGACAAAUAUUUCUAGGAUAAACCAUACUCCGUGGGUGGCUGACGGCACGCUCAGAGCAGCUCUUUUCAAGGUCUGCAGGGCUGUAUUUUGAAGGCGGCUCGUUCGGGAACACCUUUUGCUGCCCUUCAGCCCAGUUCUGCCCCUCACCAGGGGACUCGUAAGGGGCAGUGUGGUAUUUAUCGAGUCCAAGCUGUGAACUACACAUUUCUUCCUGCUUUCACGGGUUCCACAUGAUCAUCCUCACUGAGCAGGGGCAUUUUUGAACCAGCAGCGGUUUCCUCUAACUUCAGGAUCUGCCCAGGCAGCAGGGAUGGCUGAUUUGGAGCGCGAAUCCUGCCUUCGGGAGGUGUCCCCCAGGGAAGGGGCCGGGGCACGAGCUGGCCGCACGGCCAGGGCCAGUCCCACGGACAGUGCCGCUUCUCCCCACGUUAGCAUUAUGCUUUUAAAAGAAAGCCGUAUUGUUUCCUGCUGAAAGCGGGUGCCCACGAGGCCUGCUCCUCUCCUCCACGAGGAGAUGUGGCAGCGGCCCAGAACACUAACGUGUCUCCAGGCAGCAAAGGCAAGGAACAAGCCCCCUGAUGUGGAGCUAGAGAUCACCUCAAGACAAACCACAUCAUAAGACCUCCUACAUACAGUGAGGAGGAAAAAAGAAAAAAAAGGCCCAGACAGAAACCCCAACGUAAGCCUGCAGUUGAGAUCAAGAACAAUUACAGUGGCUUUCAGCUUAGUAACGGGUCUUACUCAGCUUCUGCUUCCAACUGGAGCACGUAUCGGAUGGCUCCAGCUCAUUUUCUGUUCCCCAGAAGCCAGAGCAGAGGCACACAGCCAGGGCCAUCAUUCACCCAAAUCCAGCCCCUCACUGGGCUGGGAGCUGGGAUCUCCUGCAGCCACUGCAUGGGUGCUGGCGGCAGGGAGCAGAGGGCGGGCUCCCGACCAGCCUCACGCUGCCCUGCAAGGAGGUCUGCGCUGCCACGGGGUGGGAGGACAGCCAUGCAGUCCCCAAGAGGAUGGGGGCAAACACCAAGCACGGUCACCGCGGGACAGUUCAGCCCAGCAGCACUCGAGCCCCGGCUGUGCAGGGCCAGCAGCACAAAGGGACACCCAUCAGCAUCGCCAUCUUCACCUCUUCUCGGAGAGACUAAAUAAUGACAAAGCGUCUACUGACUCCAUCUAGACUUCUACAAGAAGUCAAAGCCACCACAGUUGGACGUAUGUGCAUGCUUACAAAGGUUUUCUUACGGCCUUUAUUGUCCUCGUUUCCCCCCCAGGGGGGUUGUUGGGCUCCCUCCCCUCUGCUCCCCGUGCACUUGGUGUUCUCGGAGCAGCAAUUCACCCAGGAGCCCUCCAUCAUUUCAUCAUGAGCUGAGCAGCACUUUCAGCGCAGCAUCAGCUCCAGAGGGAGCAAGAAGCAGAGCAAGACAGGAGUCGCAGACAACGCUGCCUCCGAGGGGCAUCUGGAGAAGGGCAGACGAACUUGCAGCCUAAGGUGCAUUCUUCAUUGGAAGCAUUAGCUGGAUAUUACGUAUUUCUAAAGAUAAUCUCCUAAACCUCCAGCAAAGCUGGUUAUGGAUCCACUUAGAGCAGCAUUUAUGGCUCAAGUAUCACAAAAUACCUUCCUGCCUUACAAGAAAUUAAAACUCAGAAGUUGAAGGCAAUUCUUCUCCCAGAUCUGAACUCUUGUGGCCAGGACGGGUUAGGUUUUGCAAUCUCCUCUCUGACCCCACAUGCUUUCACUGCUGACAAGGGAAACAUUUUUCCUUUGUGUACUGCGGCCAUAGAGAUCUCUGGCCCACGUACAGAGAAGCAUUAGUUACAAAACACCGUUACGUCAACCGCCACAAAGAGCUAAUCGUGCCACUUUGGUCUGGGUGGCACUUCACAUCCCAUCAAUGGAAGGGCCACGUUACAGCCAAACGUGGCCACAAAAGCAUCUGGCAAGCAGCUCCGUGACAGAGGCCAGCUAAGCCACAAGGGAGGACUUUGCUCGAGAUGACGAACACGCUUCAAGCUCGCCGAGCCCCGGCUGAAGGGACAGGAGAGCCCAAUGUCCGUUCUGACUACGGCACAGUCAACCGUGCAACCUCAACAGGUCCCGAGAGAACACCAGACCCUAAAAGUGAGCCAGGCAUAGGGAAACUGCUCCCUGCUCAGCGUCUGGGCCCAGAUCUCCUGUGCAAAGCAGGAGCAUCAGUUUCUGCUUCCCCGCCACCAACCUGGCGUGAACUCCCAGCACUCCUCUCCUCCCUUUCUGGAAUUUAAAGAGGUUCUGAGCCUGCUCGCCCUCCUGACCAAGUCAGCUUUGCAGGGACGUGACUAAGACAGAAACUGAAUCUAAGACACGGAAUACAGGAUCCAAGAAACGACGAGAGAUAAAUGCAGAGCUGGAUGUGAGCCCAAAGCUCUGCAAAAGAAGCAGAGUGCAAGGACAAAGCACUGGGGACUGCGAUAAACAGGUGGCUGGGGAAACUUUGCAUCUCCUAGCAAAAAAAAACAACUGCCCUGCGACUUAGCAGAACAAUUCCAGACUGGAAAGGGUUUUAAACAAAGGGAUAGAAAUGAAGGACGUGUGGCCGCUCUUCAGGUCAGAAGGGGACCCUGCCUCUCGCUAGCACGGGGAGGCUUUCCCAACCACCUGCGACAGGCGCCGGACAACUUCCCAGCCCUCCCCGCCCCGAGGGCUUCCUGCCCUGUCCUUUUCAUCCCUCCUGGCGCGCACACCGGAUUUCUUUUAGACCGCGACAGGGGAGAUUUAGGUCGGAAAUUAGGAGGAAGUUUUUCACUCAGAGGACGGCAAGGCCCUGGCACGGGUUGCCCAGGGAGGUUGUGGACGCCCCAUCCCUGGAGGCGUUCAAGGCCAGGCUGGAUGCGGCUCCAGUGGGUGGCCACCCCGCCCAGAGCAGGGGGGUUGCAACUGGGAGAUCUUCGAGGUCCUUUCCAACCCGGGCCAUUCUACGAGUCUGUGACAUGAUCCUGGGAAGGAGCUCGGGCUGAUGCGCUGCAGAGAUGCACACAGCACCGGGCUGUGAGCAGGGCCUCCUGCGGCUCAGAGGUCAGCGCAGAGCCGCUGAUCCCACGCUCUGCGUCCAACAGCCGCAGGUACAGGAUCGCUGCUCCUCAGGGGAGGAGCCGGGGCAGCUGCUCCAGCAGCAUUUGCACAGCUCCAGACAGCACAGUUGCGAAGGGACAUGAACCUCCAAGGAAUAGGUGCUGCUCCAUCCAAGACAUGGCAUGAAGCAGCUGCAACUGCAAGCCUGGAGGCUUGGAGUGUGCCACUCUUUCUCUGGAAGGAUGGUGCUGAGCACCGUUUCUUUUACAUACUCGUUCAUAGCGUAGUGUGCAAAACCACACUUAGAUAAGGACUGAUUUUCUCUGUCCAGUUGCUCCAUGUAAAUGAUGUAAAUGACCAGAUGUAAAUGCAGAGAGCAGGACAGAACCCUGCCUUGCUGUUUAAAGCCAGCAGUGCACAGCACCAGGUUCACUGGAAGCUCCAGCACUGUCCAGUUAAGGUCCUGCGCCUCAUUAAAUACUUGACAUUUGC